ensembl:lncRNA
GUCACUCAGAAGGGACAGCGUGUACAAACUAAGGUGCCCUGUCACUCAGAAGGGUCAGCGUGUACAAACCAAGGUGCCCUGUCACUCAGAAGGGUCAGCGUGUACAAACCAAGGUGCCCUGUCACUCAGAAGGGUCAGCGUGUACAAACCAAGGUGCCCUGUCACUGUUUCAACUUUUCCCAGUGUCACUCUAUUUAAACAGCAAAGCUCUCUACUCAGAACAUUCAUCUAGGGGUUUCUGCGUGAGCUUUGGAACCAGGAAUUGUUUCUUUUAAGCUGUGCUGAGGUUGAUAAAUCAUCCGUUCCUGUAACGUGAAUUUCUAAUGACUGGAAUCCUGGUCUAGUUGCAUCAUUUCUCCUCCACCAAUCCAAGUUUCCUUUUUCCACACGGAUCAUGUGUCUACAGCCGAUAUCACUAAUUAGGCUACAGUCAGAUCCUUCCUGGCAUGAAAUAUUCAAAAUGACUUGUUUUAAUGACUCUCGUGAUGUUAUGUUUUCC